rnacentral:rRNA from 1 species
AAUAGAUACCCUGGUAGUCCACGCCGUAAACGAUGGAUGCUAGCUAUUGGGGGGAAUCGACCCCCUCCGAAGCGAAGCUAACGCGUUAAGCAUCCCGCCUGAGUAGUACGAGCGCAAGCUUAAAACUCAAAGGAAUUGACGGGGACCCGCACAAGCGGUGGAGCGUGUGGUUUAAUUCGAUGGUAAACGAAGAACCUUACCAAGGUUUGACAUCCCGGUAGCCGUUCUCCGAAAGGAGAAUUUCAUUUAGUUGGACCGGUGACAGGUGAUGCAUGGCCGUCGUCAGCUCGUGUCGUGAGAUGUUGGGUUAAGUCCCGCAACGAGCGCAACCCUUAUGAUUUAGUUGGAUUUUUCUAAACAGACUGCCCUGGUAACAGGGAGGAAGGAGGGGAUGAUGGUCAGGUCAGUAUUUCCCUUACACCUUGGGCGACACACGCGCUACAAUGGCCGGUACAAUGGGCAGCUAAGCCGCGAGGUGGAGCAAAUCCCAUCAAAGCCGGUCCCAGUUCGGAUUGCAGGCUGAAACCCGCUGCAUGAAGCCGGAAUCGCUAGUAACC